UACGUAGGGUGCAAGCGUUGUCCGGAAUUAUUGGGCGUAAAGAGCUCGUAGGCGGUCUGUCGCGUCUGCUGUGAAAACCUAGGGCUUAACUCUGGGCGUGCAGUGGGUACGGGCAGACUAGAGUGCGGUAGGGGAGACUGGAAUUCCGUGGUGUAGCGGUAGAAUGCGCAGAUAUCAGGAGGAACACCGGUGGCGAAGGCGGGUCCUCUGGGCAGGUAACUGACGCUGGAGGAGCGAAAGCGUGGGGAGCGAACAGG
rnacentral:rRNA from 1 species